CAAGGUCUGCAGCGAGCACUUCGUUUCUGGAAGGCCAUCCUACCUGAUGGACGUUACAAACCCAGACUGGGCACCCAGCUUACACUUGGGGUAUGACAGAAACUCAGCUGCUAAAUCUGAAGCAAGGCACCAGCGACGUUGCAAGAGGGCUGCGACCUCAAAGGAGAUCCAAGAGGGCAAUAGCAGAGUUCUCCAGCCUUCAAAUGUGUUGAACGUGCAGCACAG